GCUCUGGUGGUCUAGUGAUUAGAGCGCCCGCCUCAGAUGCUGGAGGUCGUGGAUUCGAUCCCCGGUCGAGUCAUAACA